UACGAAGGGUGCAAGCGUUACUCGGAAUUACUGGGCGUAAAGCGUGCGUAGGUGGUUUGUUAAGUCUGUUGUGAAAGCCCCGGGCUCAACCUGGGAAUGGCAAUGGAUACUGGCAGGCUAGAGUGCGGUAGAGGGUAGUGGAAUUCCCGGUGUAGCGGUGAAAUGCGUAGAGAUCGGGAGGAACACCAGUGGCGAAGGCGGGUCUCUGGGCCGUAACUGACGCUGAGGAGCGAAAGCGUGGGGAGCGAACAGG
rnacentral:rRNA from 1 species